ACGGAGGGUGCAAGCGUUGUUCGGAAUUACUGGGCGUAAAGCGAGCGCAGGCGGACUCAGAAGUCGGGGGUGAAAGCCCCGGGCUUAACUGGGGAAGUGCGAUCGAUACCAUGGGUCUUGAGAACAGUAGAGGUGCGGGGAAUUCCCAGUGUAGCGGUGAAAUUCUUAGAUAUUGGGAGGAACACCGAUGGUGAAGGCAGCGAUCUGGAUUGUUUCUGACGCUGAGACGCGAAAGCGUGGGUAGCAAACAG
rnacentral:rRNA from 1 species